AGUGAACGCUGGCGGCGUGCUUAACACAUGCAAGUCGAACGAGAACGGGUUAUAGCUUGCUAUAAUUGUCAGCUAAGUGGCGCACGGGUGAGUAAUGUAUAGGUAAUAUGCCUCUUACUAAGGGAUAACAAAUGGAAACGUUUGCUAAUACCUUAUACUCCUUUUAAACAGAAGUUUAAAAGGGAAAGAUUUAUUGGUAAGAGAUUAGCCUGUAUUGUAUCAGUUAGUUGGUGGGGUAAUGGCUUACCAAGACUAUGACACAUAACUGGUUUGAGAGGAUGAUCAGUCACACUGGAACUGAGACACGGUCCAGACUCCUACGGGAGGCAGCAGUGGGGAAUAUUGCACAAUGGACGAAAGUCUGAUGCAGCAACGCCGCGUGGAGGAUGACACAUCUCGGUGCGUAAACUCCUUUUAUAUGAGAAGAUAAUGACGGUAUUAUAUGAAUAAGCACCGGCUAACUCCGUGCCAGCAGCCGCCGUAACAC
rnacentral:rRNA from 1 species